CUGGGCUUGAGCUGUUCUGGGCCUUCUAUUGACAUAGGGAUGAAAGCACAGUGUUUCCCAGACUGACGAGGAGACAAGAUGUCACAGCUGCAGAGAAUCCCGGCAUCUGGCAUCCCAGCUCAGUCACACUGAAGGAUCCCCCCAUUUUGGCAGAAAUCGUUUCCAAGGCUGCUUCCCCCCAAGAGCAGGGGACAUCAAGGAGGCAGUGGAAGCCAAGGGGGGCCCAUUGCCCGUCUUUGCGCGCGCCCCAGCCCACCCCAUCCGAGCCCAGAAACCAGAGAGCUUCGAAGACGCCCGUUCAUUCGGUCUCCAGAAAGCCCAGCUGAGAUCUGUUCUAAUCCACCCGCGUGGAAAGGUUUCCAGUGUGUUUAUCCCGUUGCCAUGGGUUUGCUUUCUGCGUCAGGCAC
rnacentral:lncRNA from 1 species